AGRAAAGUGCCUGAAUAAAGGGUCAUUCUGAUAGAAUGAAUUAUGCAAAUAUAACGCCUUUUCUU
rnacentral:tRNA from 1 species